rnacentral:rRNA from 1 species
UACGUAGGGGGCAAGCGUUGUCCGGAAUCAUUGGGCGUAAAGCGCGUGUAGGCGGCUCGGUAAGUCCGCUCUGAAAGUCCAGGGCUCAACCCUGGGAUGCGGGUGGAUACUGCCGAGCUCGAGUCCGGAAGAGGCGAGUGGAAUUCCUGGUGUAGCGGUGGAAUGCGCAGAUAUCAGGAGGAACACCGAUGGCGAAGGCAGCUCGCUGGGACGUGACUGACGCUGAGACGCGAAAGCGUGGGGAGCGAACAGG